rnacentral:tRNA from 1 species
GCGGACGUAGCUCAAUGAUAGAGCACCUCGAAUCUAGGCGAGCCAAAUUGCUGAUACAGGGCGGCCACGCGUUGAGGAGGUUGGGGGUUCAAAUCCCCCCGUCCGCCCCA